UUCAUCUACUCGACUCCACCGCCUCAUUUCAGCUUAUUAAACUCUUUCAUUUUCUGAAAACACCACCAAAUCCCAGCAAUCAACUUCUUGUUUCUGCUGCUUUCGAUUCAAGUGGUGUGGCGCGACUAGGACAUGGAUUUUAAUUUGAAUUAUCAGAAUUAGCUUUCAAGUUGAACUUCAAAUUCAGGUUUUAAAGGCCGGAGGCGCGUGGAAGGUCGAAUGGCGAGUCAAAUAUUUUUGAAUUUAGUUUUACUUAAAAAUGUUAUUUUGAGUAAAGUAUGUUUAAAUAAAAAUUUAUUUUCUGAUUUUCUCAUUAAAUAUUUAUUUAUAGUCAUGGAUUUUCCGCGUGCGUUUCCAUGUAAAUUUAAAUUGGAUUUGGGUGUCACAAUUGUGAAAUCUCAUUUUCUUAUUAACUUGUCAAGACAAAAGAAUGACAUAUAAUACAAAAUCGUGUUUUUACAUGUACAUGUCAAAACAAAUUCAUCUUCAAAACAUAGCAUUUCCACGCAGCCAUCAGUUUUCUAACUGCCUCACCCAUCACCUUCCUCACCACCAAAAGCGUCCGCCACCAUCUCCAUGUUGCUCCGGCUCCCUUCGUCCUCCGCCCCACCACCACCGAAACGACGAGCGUUGCCCCCUUCAUGACCUUGGCGGAGCCGGGCACCUCCAGCUGAUCCAAAUACCACAUCUUCAUCCUCAACGCCGACACUCGACUCCUACUCUCCGCCAUUUCGCAG